AUGGGGAGUGUAUCAGUUACUGUGGCCGCGCAACAACCAACGCUAACACUCAGUGGCUUUCAACAGCAGCCCUUCACUGGCACGGGCCUCGGAACUGGUGCAGGCUGUCGGCUGCAGCCAGCCCGGCUCCGGCCACAGGGAAGUGGGCUCGGCUUCUUCGGGAGGAGUCAGUGCAGGACUUCUCUGGGAGACCAUGAUUCUGUCAGCUGGGAGUCGGCUCGUCGGGCAGGGCCUGGUAUUGGAAACUUGGAGACCGGUCGUCGUGAGCGCCAGUGCCCCCUGCGUACGUUUCCCGUCCCUAGAGCUGGCAUCCGGUAAAGGGGGAGGGGAAGUUCUGGUCCUAGACAGAGAUUUGGAGUCACUCCAAUUGUGGGACACCUGACCUCUGCCACUUGGCAGCUGUACGACCCUGUGGCAGGUGCCUCACCCGGAGCCCACUAGAACCCCAGAGCUCCAGGCACACUCUUCAGUGAACCCGGUUGCUAAUGGGCCAGAGAAGCCAAUUCCCAAUCCCGUGUGCCGCCGCCACCCUCUGAUUUCCCUCUCAGAGGCGCCACCCCAUGGUGGAGAUAAAGCCUGCCUGGACCCUUCCUGAUCCUGCCUGGCGCUGGCCUGGGAGGUGGGGACGGGGCCACCCAGGGCCACACCACGUCCACUUCCCUGGUCCCCAGCAGCGGGAUGCGGGGGGCAGCAACCCUCCCACAGGCCUCUCACCCCCACCCCCACCCCACCACCCAGGCACGGGGCUGAGAUCUUUCCGGCAGCAUUGGAGCAGCCUCAGCGCCUUUGAUAGCUAAGGGUGCCAAGUCCCCUCUCCUCUGUCCCCGAACCCAGGACACCGCGUGGGGAGGACAGAGUGACACACAGGCAGGAGAAGGGGCCCAGAAGAGCAGGACAUCAAAAGAUUUUGUAACCAAAGUGGCGUCCAGCCCAACGCCAGGGUGGAAACAGCGCCCGCGGGCUCAUUCGGGACGUGUCUCCUCCGUGCCAACAGUGAAGACAGCAUCGCGCCCUCUGCACGGCCCUGUGAUGCAGGUACUGUUAGCGCUCUCAGUGAUCAGACGGGAAAGCGGUCUCAGCACGGGCCUGCUGCCUGCCCGCCUCCCCCAGCCGAUGAUUCGCUAAACUGGCUCCAACCUGGAGGUUAGGACACCACCGGCAGCGCUGUGUGCCGACUGCGCAUGCGUGUGUGGGCUCGUGCGCCUCAGCGCUGCGCACCAGGCCCUGUGCAAGGUGCUGGCAGAUGAGGAAGGGCGAAGCCCUCUCCUUUAGUCCAG
rnacentral:lncRNA from 1 species